rnacentral:rRNA from 1 species
CCUACGGGAGGCAGCAGUGGGGAAUUUUGGACAAUGGACGCAAGUCUGAUCCAGCCAUUCCGCGUGCAGGACGAAGGCCUUCGGGUUGUAAACUGCUUUUGUACAGAACGAAAAGGUUUCUCUUAAUACGAGGGGCUCAUGACGGUACUGUAAGAAUAAGCACCGGCUAACUACGUGCCAGCAGCCGCGGUAAUACGUAGGGUGCAAGCGUUAAUCGGAAUUACUGGGCGUAAAGCGUGCGCAGGCGGUUAUAUAAGACAGAUGUGAAAUCCCCGGGCUCAACCUGGGAACUGCAUUUGUGACUGUAUAGCUGGAGUACGGUAGAGGGGGAUGGAAUUCCGCGUGUAGCAGUGAAAUGCGUAGAUAUGCGGAGGAACACCGAUGGCGAAGGCAAUCCCCUGGACCUGUACUGACGCUCAUGCACGAAAGCGUGGGGAGCAAACAGGAUUAGAUACCCUGGUAGUCCACGCCCUAAACGAUGUCAACUGGUUGUUGGGUCUUCACUGACUCAGUAACGAAGCUAACGCGUGAAGUUGACCGCCUGGGGAGUACGGCCGCAAGGUUGAAACUUAAAUGAAAUUGACGG